ensembl:lncRNA
GUCAACAGGUGAGUCUUGUUAGAUGUUAACUGGUGGGAUUUUGCAGUCAUGUUGCUGCACAGCAACAGGCUCUGUUAAACUACUGCAGAAAUCCAUUAUAUGACAAGAACUACUCAGCAAAGUAAAGACAAAUGACAGUUUCUUGUUACUUUAAGACAUGAAGGUCAGUCAGUCAGAUAAUUUCAUGAAAGUUUCCUCAAAAAGCUCCAAACACAGUGGAGAAACUGGUUCUGAUGAGGAGAACAGAUUAGAUCCACAUCAGUGCAAGCAACAAAUUACAGAGAGAAUAAGACUUUAAUGGUGGAACGGCUGCAAAAAAACCAAGAAGAAGAAGAGAACUGCUCGGACCCGGAGGUAGUUGAAGUGGAUUUUAGACCAGCUGAAAUCUGAAUGCAGAGAAUGGACUGUGAUGCUGUUGGAGAUUUACUUAAAGUUCAAGUCUUUCUCUAUGUGAGCCAUCGUGAUCUUCAGUGCAUCGAUGUCUUUACACUCCACAACAUCUGGAAUCUUCAGCAGGAUCCGGUUCCACUGUUGGACUCCAGGAGCCUGAUGGAACAUAAUAAACACACACAGGUUGGCCAUGAUGCGGUGAAGAUGUUCUGCAUCCUCUUGGACCGUUUGCUCCACGUCUGGGUUCCAACAUCUCUGCAGUUUACGUCGACUGCUCUGGAGGAGAUGCUUCAGCUGAAUGACAAUGAGGUGGAGUCAGACCACUCUACAGCAACUACUGAUUUGAGCGAGAUGCAGCUGAAGGUUUUGGUCCAGAUCUGCAGGAGGCUUCGGGAAAAUCUGGGACAAGAAUCUUCGUACGAGGUGAACAACACGUUGUUGCAUAUCGUGUCGACCUGAGCAGCAAGAUCCGUCCUCAGGGGUGGUGGCAUCAGAAUACUUCCCGAGAAGCUCAAAUAGCUCCUGAAGAAAGACGUCUUUCUCCUGCUGCAGGUGUUCUUCCUCCUCAGUGUUGACGGUGUUCUGAACCAAGGGCUCGGCUACAGUGUAUCCUGUAAAAGAUAUGAAAAGGGAUUAUUCAUGGACACCGAAUCCCUUUUUAGGGGGUCGUGUCUCAUUUUUUGAUUGGUCUUGUCCACAUCACAGAGCAGUUACAAUAAUCACUUUUGGAAUAAACCAAACACAGAAACUUUAAAAGCUUAACUGGAGUCCAAGCUCUUAGUGAGUCCAUUUCAUUUAGUGCUAAUGUUACACUUGGGUUUGUAAUUGCUGCUUUCUGUCAUUUUCCAACACGGUUUUCCAACGUUUUCACUCACUGUUUACUUUAGUUUUCGAAACCGAAAGUCUGACAUGGUUAGUUCAAGGGCCGUCAACAAUUCUUUCCAUUUUUACAGCUCUUGGUUCUGAUAAAUGGUGUAAGUUUGGCAGUUGUUUUGAUUUAUUAACUUCUUUAAAGGUGCCUUUAAAAAAUCUGCCGGUGGGUUUUGGAGGCGCGGCAGGAUUACUGCACAGGAAACAAAGGAAUUUCUACUCCUGUUGUUCUUGAACUACAGUUCUUAUCACGGUUUAGUGACUUCUUAUCAAAUAUUUUUCCCAGAAGUUUGACUAAGGUAGGAAUGGGCCGAGCUUGGAAAAAAUGACGUAACAUUUUCGAUGGAUGAUUAUGAAACUGUUCAGCGUGCAGACAUUGGCUUCAGCUGAAUACUGGUUUGGAGGAUAUGUGUAGCUUCCAGACAAUGACUUCUAGUGACUUUGUUGGCACCAUGAUGUUUUGUUUAACCACAAGGCAUUCACUGAUCUACUUCUUAGCUUUUCCAUUCAUCAUAAGAAAGUGGAAGAACCGAUUCGUUUACUACAAUAAAAAUUGGAGCCGAUGAUAACACGACUGGCAUCACAGAAGAAACUGUAUCGGCUGUUUUCUUUACGCUCACACGUCCAACACAACAAUACACCGCCCACUACAGUUACAUAUCAAUCCAGGGAUGGGUGAUAAUGCGCAGCACGCCUCAUUAAAGUAAGGCUCGCUCCAGUCUAGUGAUUAGUGGGUUGAAUUAUGACAUCGCUUUGAUUUGGUUUUAUCUUUUCUAUGUACACUACCGUUC